UACGUAGGUGGCAAGCGUUGUCCGGACUUACUGGGCGUAAAGGGCUUGUAGGCGGUUUGUUAAGUCUGGUGUGAAAUCUCCCGGCUCAACCGGGAGGGGUCAUCGGAUACUGGCAGACUAGAGACGGGUAGAGGAAAGCAGAAUUCCCGGUGUAGCGGUGAAAUGCGUAGAUAUCAGGAGGAACACCCGUGGCGAAGGCGGCACUCUGGGUCGGCCCUGACGCUGAGGCGCGAAAGCGUGGGGAGCGAACGGG
rnacentral:rRNA from 1 species